CAUUCGGAUUGAAGGCUGAAAUUCGCCUUCAUGAAGCCGGAAUUGCUAGUAAUGGCAGGUCAGCAUACUGCCGUGAAUACGUUCCCGGGCCUUGUACACACCGCCCGUCACACCAUGAGAGUUGGGAAUACCCGAAGCCUGUGAGCUAACGAAAGAGGCAGCAGUCGAAGGUAGAAUCAAUGAUUGGGGUGAAGUCGUAACAAGGUAGC
rnacentral:rRNA from 1 species